rnacentral:misc_RNA from 1 species
CUAGUCUGUUUACACAAUUCAGCUUUCUUUGCUAGAGAAGCACUGUCCUGUUCAAUCAUUUUCAGCACUAGGUUGACACCCUGGCCCAUCCCUGAGAAAUCAGAUGAAGUUGACAGAGGGAGGGACUAANNNCUAGAGGGAAAAAAUGAAAAGAGGGGGUUUGGUUUGGGGAUCCUGAUUUGUCAAAUUAUUAGAUCAAAAC